UACGUAGGGGGCAAGCGUUGUCCGGAUUUAUUGGGCGUAAAGCGCGUGUAGGCGGCCAGGUAGGUCGGUUGUGAAAAUUGGAGGCUCAACCUCCAGACGUCGAUCGAAACCAUCUGGCUAGAGUCCGGAAGAGGAGAAUGGAAUUCCUGGUGUAGCGGUGAAAUGCGUAGAUAUCGUGAGGAAGACCAGUGGCGAAGGCGGAUCUCUGGACAGUUCCUGACACUGAGGCACGAAGGCCAGGGGAGCAAACGGG
rnacentral:rRNA from 1 species